rnacentral:rRNA from 1 species
AUUGAACGCUGGCGGCAGGCCUAACACAUGCAAGUCGAGCGGAUGAAGGGAGCUUGCUCCUGGAUUCAGCGGCGGACGGGUGAGUAAUGCCUAGGAAUCUGCCUGGUAGUGGGGGAUAACGUCCGGAAACGGGCGCUAAUACCGCAUACGUCCUGAGGGAGACAGUGGGGGAUCUUCGGACCUCACGCUAUCAGAUGAGCCUAGGUCGGAUUAGCUAGUUGGUGGGGUAAAGGCCUACCAAGGCGACGAUCCGUAACUGGUCUGAGAGGAUGAUCAGUCACACUGGAACUGAGACACGGUCCAGACUCCUACGGGAGGCCGCAGUGGGGAAUAUUGGACAAUGGGCGAAAGCCUGAUCCAGCCAUGCCGCGUGUGUGAAGAAGGUCUUCUGAUUGGAAAGCACUUUAAGUUGGGAGGAAGGGCAGUAAGUUAAUACCUUGCUGUUUUGACGUUACCAACAGAAUAAGCACCGGCUAACUUCGUG